AUUGAACGCUGGCGGCAUGCCUUACACAUGCAAGUCGAACGGUAACAGGUCUUCGGAUGCUGACGAGUGGCGAACGGGUGAGUAAUACAUCGGAACGUGCCCGAGAGUGGGGGAUAACGAGGCGAAAGCUUUGCUAAUACCGCAUACGAUCUCAGGAUGAAAGCAGGGGACCGCAAGGCCUUGCGCUCACGGAGCGGCCGAUGGCAGAUUAGGUAGUUGGUGGGAUAAAAGCUUACCAAGCCGACGAUCUGUAGCUGGUCUGAGAGGACGACCAGCCACACGGGGACGGAGACACGGCCCAGACUCCUACGGGAGGCAGCAGUGGGGAAUUUUGGACAAUGGGCGCAAGCCUGAUACAGCCAUGCGGCGUGCAGGAUGAAGGCCUUCGGGUUGUAAACUGCUUUUGUACGGAACGAAAAGACUCUGGUUAAUACCUGGGGUCCAUGACGGUACCGUAAGAAUAAGCACCGGCUAACUACGUGCCAGCAGCCGCGGUAACAC
rnacentral:rRNA from 1 species